GUCUGGAAUUUGGGAGCGGUUCCGGUAGGGCCGGUGGCCUCCCCGUCGGCGAUCGCCGCUCGCGUCGCCGCCGACGACACCAGGAGCUCCGCCUGCCCGCCGCGCGCCGCCGAGCGCAGGAGGAGGCGAGGUUGGAAGGCGGUCACUCUGGCGUGUCACAUUUACAUGGGUGCAGACAAAGGGUGGGAAUUUGGAUGCGAAGCAACCAUGUUUAUUGUGCGAUCAGCGUUCGGCAGUUUACAUCGGCAUGUAGCAAUUUGGUUCGAUGAUACUGCUCUGAUGUCCUUGACGAGGAGGGAAAUAAGGGUAUAUAAAAUAAACCCGUAUCGACCUUUGUCUGUCUGCUGUUUGUGGUGUCCUACAUUGCAGGAGCUAAUCUGAUUUGAAUUUUUAUGUUUUUAGAACAAGUUAAGAAAGCAAGCAGUUGUGCCAAACAAGGGAGUACAAAGCAGUUGGGUCAUAAAAAUUCAGGACAGGAUCUGUUCCUCUGUGCGUGCACUGUGAAACAUAUGCCAUCAUAGUGUUCAUAACCACUGGCCCAUUCAAGGGAUGAGCUUAUUUAAGAGAGCCACAGAAGAACUUCUGAAAUGACCAGGGAAAAGAUGCAAAAGCCGUGAUAUUGUGGUAGUAGUACACAAAGACAUUCCUUCGUCAUUGAUCUCCAACGGGAGCAGUGUCUGAUUACACAGUAACCGACCUAUUCAAGCAAUCAUGCGUGUUCGUUGCUUAAAGGAUGGCUUUUCUUUGCUUUGCAAAUCUUGAUCCCUUCCUGUUCCUCCAAUGGCAAGCAAAAGCUAUGGCUUACCCAGCACUUUUGAGUUAGGACUAUGGCUAUUAUGUGAAGAGCCAUCAGUUUACUUGUACGGAAAAUAAAAGCGAAGCUGGCAUAGUGAUGUAAUAAUGGUAUGUAUGUCACUAACAAUCUCCAGUGUGGCGUCUUCAGUAACAUAGUGUUGUUCAGUUAGUUUGCACUCUUGUUUUCAUGUGUUUUACUAGCAUAGAUGGUCAGGGUUGUUCUACCAUUUCCUUGUCACUGGACAACUGAGUAGAUCACAAUUAUAGCUACCAAUAAAUGAGGUCGCUGCUGGUUUGCUGGGGUAGCACUUCACAAAGAGAGACUAUUCAAUUUUGGAUAUCAUUUUCUGUCAGUGGCCACCUGCUAAUUAGUUCGGCGUUUCAUGCUGGAUAAAAGAAGUGCACAUCAAGAAGAGGAGUAACUAUAACCAUGUGAUGGACCGAAUGAACUUAUGAUACAUCAUGUGUUUUACUAUCUCUCUAGGUCAGAAAUACUAGGACAACCCAGAUGAGGAACAGUACUUCUUGUUGCUGUAGCUUGGACUUAAAAGGCCAGUCAUGUGCUGAACUGCAGAUACUUGAUUUGCUCUCUUACCUUCAGGAUUAAACAAGUGACUGCUUCCUUCAUUGCAGUUGGGUUUUAUUUCCAGUUUAAUGAGCCUAUGAUUCUGUGAGUCGUCUUCUCUGCAUAGUAUUAUAAACAGAAGAAUAGAAGCUAGCAUCUGCUGCUUGCUGGAAGUAAAAUAUUGCUAACACAGGUUCCUGCAUCAAGACAACAGUGGUGGAGGUGGGGGACCUUUGGAGCAGGAGUUUAGGACCGACGCAUGGCCCCUCCUUGUGCAUGCAUCAUUGUACAUAUAUACUUUCACCGUACCGUCCGCAAUUGUGGUCCAAGCACUGUUACAACUGAGUAUGUGUACCUUUGAGAAGGUGUGCUUUAUACAUGGAUUCCCCUUUAUUUGGGUAGAUUCAGUUGGACUACAAAGUGAGCACAAACUAUACCUGAAAGCUGAAAGAGAAAAAGAGGAUCAGGGAUUGGAAGGAUGGAUUCAAGCUUUAGACAGAACAUGUUGUAAUGUCGCCUGAAAAGCUUGCGCACGGUUUGAGUGGUAGCUGCUUUGCUUAGUUACAAACUCUAGGUUUGAUCUUUCUAAAAAUCGUAAAUUAGGAAUGUGUAAUCUUGCGGAACUGCUAUUGACAGAGUGUACAAAUGGUGAAAUGGGUCAAAGUUGCCGGUCUUAAAAUCGGAAUGGUUUCUUUCAGCUCAUUCCAAUGCAGAAACCAAGUUCAGUCAAGCCAGAUGUUCUCAAAAGAGCAUUACAUGGAUAACAUUUUCGGGGAAGUAAAAAGCCAUUGUUCAUGAUCGCAAGCUCGCAAGAAAAGCAAUGCCGGUGAUGAUGGCGAUGGUACAGCACUAGUAGCUGGGCCGUAAUCAGUAAGUAUGGAGCAAGAACUCAAAGCUGUAUACCCGUGUAUUGCAUUUCUCAGUUCAUAAAUAUAACGAGAUGCUAGCAUACUUAUC
rnacentral:lncRNA from 1 species